rnacentral:rRNA from 1 species
UACGUAGGGCGCAAGCGUUAUCCGGAAUUAUUGGGCGUAAAGAGCUCGUAGGCGGUCUGUCGCGUCUGCUGUGAAAACCUAGGGCUUAACUCUGGGCGUGCAGUGGGUACGGGCAGGCUAGAGUGCGGUAGGGGAGACUGGAAUUCCUGGUGUAGCGGUGAAAUGCGCAGAUAUCAGGAGGAACACCGGUGGCGAAGGCGGGUCUCUGGGCCGUAACUGACGCUGGAGGAGCGAAAGCAUGGGGAGCGAACAGG